rnacentral:rRNA from 1 species
AAGCUCGUAGUUGAAUUUCGGGGUUAGUAGGUUGGUCGUGCCUUUGGUAUGUACUGGUCUCNCUGAUUCCUCCCUCCUGAUGAACCGUAAUGCCAUUAAUUUGGUGUUGCGGGGAAUCAGGACUGUUACUUUGAAAAAAUUAGAGUGUUUAAAGCAGGCCCGCGCUUGAAUACAUUAGCAUGGAAUAAUGAAAUAGGACGUUUGAUCUUAUUUUGUUGGUUUCUAGGAUNGACGUAAUGAUUAAUAGGGAUAGUUGGGGGCAUUAGUAUUCAAUUGUCAGAGGUGAAAUUCUUGGAUUUAUUGAAGACUAACUACUGCGAAAGCAUUUGCCAAGGAUGUUUUCAUUAAUCAAGAACGAAAGUUAGGGGAUCGAAGACGAUCAGAUACCGUCGUAGUCUUAACCAUAAACUAUGCCGACUAGGGAUCGGAUGAUGUUAAUUUUUUAAUGACUCAUUCGGCGCCUUACGGGAAACCAAAGUGUUUGGGUUCCGGGGGGAGUAUGGUCGCAAGGCUGAAACUUAAAGGAAUUGACGGAAGGGCACCACCAGGGGUGGAGCCUGCGGCUUAAUUUGACUCAACACGGGGAAACUCACCAGGUCCAGACAUAGCAAGGAUUGACAGACUGAGAGCUCUUUCUUGAUUCUAUGGGUG